GUGGGUCGUGUGUGUAGUGUGUGUGUAGUGUGUCUCUAGGGCCGUCUCCUCUCCCUCUUGGUCAGCACGUCCCUCUCUGUCAGUCAGUGUGUGUCUCUAUUUGUGUCUCUAUUGUGUAGUGUGUGUGUAGUGUGUCUCUAGGGCCGUCUCCUCUCCCUCUUGGUCAGCACGUCCCUCUCUGUCAGUCAGUGUGUGUCUCUAUUGUGUAGUGUGUGUGCAGUGUGUCUCUAGGGCCGUCUCCUCUCCCUCUUGGUCAGCACGUCCCUCUCUGUCAGUCAGUCAGUGUGUGUCUCUAUUGUGUAGUGUGUGUGCAGUGUGUCUCUAGGGCCGUCUCCUCUCCCUCUUGGUCAGCACGUCCCUCUCUGUCAGUCAGUCAGUGUGUGUCUCUAUUGUGUAGUGUGUGUGCAGUGUGUCUCUAGGGCCGUCUCCUCUCCCUCUUGGUCAGCACGUAGCACUGGAUGGUUCUCAGCCGGUCUUUGGCCGGAGCGAACUCAGGCUGCAGCUUCAGGGUGGACUCGUACCAGCGCAUGGCCUUCUCAAACUCCUCCUGCACACACACACACACACACACACACACA